rnacentral:rRNA from 2 species
GUGAGUAAUGCUUAGGAAUCUGCCCAGUAGUGGGGGAUAGCCCGGGGAAACCCGGAUUAAUACCGCAUACGUCCUACGGGAGAAAGCAGGGGAUCUUCGGACCUUGCGCUAUUGGAUGAGCCUAAGUCGGAUUAGCUAGUUGGUGGGGUAAAGGCCUACCAAGGCGACGAUCCGUAGCUGGUCUGAGAGGAUGAUCAGCCACAUCGGGACUGAGACACGGCCCGAACUCCUACGGGAGGCAGCAGUGGGGAAUAUUGGACAAUGGGGGCAACCCUGAUCCAGCCAUGCCGCGUGUGUGAAGAAGGCUUUCGGGUUGUAAAGCACUUUCAGUAGGGAGGAAAACCUUAUGGCUAAUACCCAUGAGGCUUGACGUUACCUACAGAAGAAGCACCGGCUAACUCCGUGCCAGCAGCCGCGGUAAUACGGAGGGUGCAAGCGUUAAUCGGAAUUACUGGGCGUAAAGCGCGCGUAGGUGGUUUGGUAAGCGAGAUGUGAAAGCCCCGGGCUUAACCUGGGAACGGCAUUUCGAACUGUCAGACUAGAGUGUGGUAAA